rnacentral:rRNA from 1 species
AUUGAACGCUGGCGGCAGGCUUAACACAUGCAAGUCGAGCGGGGUGAUGGUGCUUGCACUAUCACUUAGCGGCGGACGGGUGAGUAAUGCUUAGGAAUCUGCCUAUUAGUUGGGGACAACAUCUCGAAAGGGAUGCUAAUACCGCAUACGUCCUACGGGAGAAAGCAGGGGAUCACUUGUGACCUUGCGCUAAUAGAUGAGCCUAAGUCGGAUUCGCUAGUUGGUGGGGUAAAGGCCUACCAAGGCGACGAUCUGUAGCGGGUCUGAGAGGAUGAUCCGCCACACUGGGACUGAGACACGGCCCAGACUCCUACGGGAGGCAGCAGUGGGGAAUAUUGGACAAUGGGGGGAACCCUGAUCCAGCCAUGCCGCGUGUGUGAAGAAGGCCUUACGGUUGUAAAGCACUUUAAGCGAGGAGGAGGCUCUUUUGGUUAAUACCCAAGAUGAGUGGACGUUACUCGCAGAAUAAGCACCGGCUAACUCUGUGCCAGCCGCCGCCGUAA